rnacentral:tRNA from 6 species
GUCCCUGUCGAUUAGUGGUUAAAUCGCCACGUUGUGGCCGUGGCGCCGCAGGUUCAAUUCCUGCCAGGGACA